GUGUGAUCAAGUGUCUGAAGGGCAUUUGGUGGAUGCCUUGGCAUUGAGAGGCGAUGAAGGACGUGACAGGCUGCGUUAAGCCUUGGGGAGCUGCCAGUAAGCUUUGAUCCGAGGAUUUCCGAAUGGGGCAACCCACCGCUUCGGCGGUAUCGUACGAUGAAUACAUAGUCGUACGAGGCGAACCCAGCGAACUGAAACAUCUCAGUAGCUGGAGGAAAGGACAUCAACCGAGACUCCGUUAGUAGUGACGAGCGAACGCGGACCAGGCCAGUGGCUUGAUAGAAACAACCAGAAGCGUCUGGAAAGGCGCGCCAUAGUGGGUGAUAGCCCCGUAUGGGUAAUGCUUUCUUCAAGUCCUUGAGUAGGGCGGGACACGUGAAAUCCUGUCUGAACAUGGGGGGACCACCCUCCAAGCCUAAGUACUCCUCAAUGACCGAUAGUGAACAAGUACCGUGAGGGAAAGGUGAAAAGCACCCCGAUGAGGGGAGUGAAAUAGACCUGAAACCGAAUGCCUACAAGCAGUCGGAGCCACAUUAAGUGGUGACGGCGUACCUUUUGUAUAAUGGGUCAGCGAGUUAAUUUGACGAGCAAGCCUAAGCCGUUAGGCGUAAGCGAAGCGAAAGCGAGUCUGAAUAGGGCGUUUAGUUCGUUUGAGUAGACCCGAAACCGGGUGAUCUAGCCAUGGGCAGGUUGAAGGUGCGGUAACACGCACUGAAGGACCGAACCCACGCAUGUUGAAAAAUGCGGGGAUGACCUGUGGCUAGGGGUGAAAGGCCAAUCAAACCCGGAGAUAGCUGGUUCUCUGCGAAAACUAUUUAGGUAGUGCGUCGUGUAUUACCGUCGGGGGUAGAGCACUGGAUGGGCUAGGGGGGCGCGAGCCUUACCAAACCUAACCAAACUCCGAAUACCGGCGAGUACAGCACGGCAGACAGACUAUGGGUGCUAAGGUCCAUAGUCGAGAGGGAAACAGCCCAGACCUCCAGCUAAGGUCCCUAAAUUGUGGCUAAGUGGGAAAGGAUGUGGGAAGGCCAAGACAGCCAGGAGGUUGGCUUAGAAGCAGCCAUCCUUGAAAGAAAGCGUAACAGCUCACUGGUCUAGACAAGCCGGCCUGCGCCGAAGAUGUACCGGGGCUAAAGCCACAUACCGAAGCUGCGGAUUCAAGUCUUUGACUUGAGUGGUAGCGGAGCGUUCCGUAGGCCUGUGAAGCGGUUCUGUAAGGAGCCGUGGAGGUAUCGGAAGUGAGAAUGCUGGCAUGAGUAGCGAUAAAGAGUGUGAGAAACACUCUCGCCGAAAGUCCAAGGGUUCCUCGGCAAGGUUAAUCCUCCGAGGGUGAGCCGGCUCCUAAGGCGAGGCCGAAAGGCGUAGUCGAUGGGAAUGAGGUUAAUAUUCCUCAGCCUGCUGGAAGUGACGGAUACCGGAAGCUGUAUGCUCUUAUUGGAUUGAGCGUGCGGCCUGGGUGUCCCAGGAAAUAGCUCCAGCGUAAGACCGUACCCCAAACCGACACAGGUGGACAGGCAGAGUAUGCCAAGGCGCUUGAGAGAACGGCGUUGAAGGAACUCGGCAAAUUGCCCCCGUAACUUCGGGAGAAGGGGGCCCCGUUCGUAGGCAACUAUGGGCGGGGGGCACAGACUAGGGGGUGGCGACUGUUUACUAAAAACACAGGGCUCUGCGAAGUCUUUAAGACGACGUAUAGGGUCUGACGCCUGCCCGGUGCCUGAAGGUUAAAAGGAGAUGUGAGAGCGUCGAAUUGAAGCCCAGGUAAACGGCGGCCGUAACUAUAACGGUCCUAAGGUAGCGAAAUUCCUUGUCGGGUAAGUUCCGACCUGCACGAAUGGCGUAACGACUUCCCCACUGUCUCCAACAUCGACUCAGCGAAAUUGAAUUCCCCGUGAAGAUGCGGGGUUCCCGCGGUUAGACGGAAAGACCCCGUGCACCUUUACUACAACUUUACACUGAUAACAGGCACAACAUGUGCAGAAUAGGUGGUAGGCUUUGAAGCAGAAACGCCAGUUUUUGUGGAGCCUCCUUUGAGAUACCACCCUUGUUUUGCUUGUUAUCUAACUGCGGUCCGUUAUCCGGAUCCAGGACCCUGUAUGGUGGGUAGUUUGACUGGGGCGGUCGCCUCCUAAAGCGUAACGGAGGCGCGCGAAGGUUGGCUCAGAGCGGUCGGAAAUCGCUCGUUGAGUGCAAUGGCAGAAGCCAGCCUGACUGCGAGACUGACAAGUCGAGCAGAGUCGAAAGACGGCCAUAGUGAUCCGGUGGUCCCGAGUGGAAGGGCCAUCGCUCAACGGAUAAAAGGUACGCCGGGGAUAACAGGCUGAUGGUGCCCAAGAGUCCAUAUCGACGGCACCGUUUGGCACCUCGAUGUCGGCUCAUCUCAUCCUGGGGCUGGAGCAGGUCCCAAGGGUACGGCUGUUCGCCGUUUAAAGAGGUACGUGAGCUGGGUUUAGAACGUCGUGAGACAGUUCGGUCCCUAUCUGCCGUGGGUGUAGGAUACUUGAGAGGAG
rnacentral:rRNA from 1 species